GCCAUAACUUGGUGCUUGAAUAUGUAGAAAGUCAAAUGGAGUGGCGAAGUUAUACCCUUUUCUAACCUUUAGUGUUGUAAUCCAUAAUCAGAAAGAAAAUGAAAAACUGGAAAAUACUAAAGUGGUGUUUAAUUUUGUUUUUAUUUAUGAAUGUAUGUAUGUAUUUGUGCUGCAAAAAAUGCACAUACAGAAGGCUAUGCUCUUAACAUGUACUGUUUCUUUAAGAUCCUCCCCACUUGCCACACAUACACAAGCCCUCUCUGAACAGGCAGUGCUUUCAGGCAGUUGACUUCCUGUACUGCGUUCAGCUCUGUCCGCUGAUGUAGUCCAGCUUUCUCUCUGUAUAACACCAGGACAUCAGGAAGUCGUUUAAAACUUGCAACCUGAAGAACGCCAUCACAACACAUACAGUUAAGCCAAAAAAGACAAAUGUGCCACCACUAGACAUGCUCACUUUUAAUAGGACUACUGUGGCUGUUAACUGGAAUACUAAUGCUGCCACCUAAUGGCUUUAGAGAAGAAAAGGCAUGUCAUAUCAGCACUUGAAGUCUUUGGUAUUUUGUCCUAUUUUAAAUGCCCAAAGAUGCUGUAAUGGACUCCAGUCUGGACCUGAGCUUUGAUCUAGACAAAGAACUUGAAAGAUUAGAUGCAGAAAUUCAGACUGUUCUUCAGGAGUGGGACAUGUCAUCAGAUGACGUAGGCAAUGAAGGUUAUGGCUGGCCCUCACGUUG